rnacentral:lncRNA from 1 species
CCACCUUCUGCAUCACAAGUGUUAUAAUAUUCAUCAUUGUUUUCUUGCUUUUGUUUUGGUGAUUCAAAAUGCAUAUCAGAUUUCACAUCCAGACUUCCAUGACCUAUUCCGUUAGUUUCACUAGCAACCAAAAGGUGUGUUGAAGAGAUGGAAUUUUUACUGCAAUGAACCAUUGAUUCAGAAUUUAAGGCUGUGGUAAUAUUUGCUUUACUGGUUCCCAUUGUCACAGUGGUUUUCGACGACUUGUCAAUAUUUUCAUUAUACAAUGCAGUCCUAGUUGCCUGAUGGUUAUUUUUCUCCUUGUCCUUGUCUGUAGUGGCAGUCCAGACUGUAACUUUAGGUUCUUUUAUACCAUUCAAAAUAUCUGUAUUAUGCAUUUUUAAUUGCAAAUUGCAUGAUAUGUUGCUAUUCGUAACAGUAGAUUUUGAUAUCAUGCCAUCAUCAAUCUGCCUAAUAUUUUCCUGCAUGUCAGUUCCAGGAAUGUGAUUAUCCAUAUAAGAAGCAGGUUUUUCUUUGUGUUGCAAACUUUCUUCCAUAGUUUCCAUUCUCAUUCGAUAAUCUAUCUCUUGAGACUCUGACUUCACAGAUAAAGAAGAUGCAGAACUAAUUUUACUAGAUACCAAUCUGUGAUUAAUUAGUUGGGUCUAAUUAAUUAGUUGAUUUGGAUCUAAUUAGUCGAUUUGAGAUUUGUGAAUCUAAUUAAUUUGGGUUAACUUAAUUAAUCACACUAAACACUUAUUCAUUCGUUCUAAAAUCAAAUUUUUAAAUGAAUGAAACAACCUAAAAUCGCUUGUAUACUAUAUCCAAGUGCCAAUGUUCAAUUGAAGCAUCAAAUAAAUUACUAAAUGAAUUAUUGUAACUAUGUUCUUCUUUUAAUAUGGAUACAGGUCUACAAAGAUAUUUUUCCAAACA